GUGCUUAACAAAAACAAAGGUCUUACAAUGUUUUGCUUCUGGAUCUUUUCCACUCACUUCUGGCUUUUGCAUGCCAUGUACUUGAUAACACACACUGAACAAGGAAGAAUAGGCUUUGUCUUCCUCACAGCUUGCAAUAUACUGUGCUUUUUACCAUCAGAUAACUUCAACAAAAGGGACAACUUUGAGGAAAAAUGAUGACGAUAUUGGGUAUUGUGACCUGGUAAACCACAGGACUAUGACUAAAGAUGGCAGGAACAGGAAAGAUACCUUACCACCAGAUCCCACCUCACCACUGGGAGGAAGUCUGGGACUACCUCUGGAAGUCUUUGGACCGAGGUGUCGUUGAAGAGUUGUCAAGUACCUACACUUCUCCAAUCGUCCUCCUACAGAAGAACGAUGAAAAAACUGAAGAUCUGUGACAAUUACUGGGCACUCCACAUAAAGACUCAUGAGUAUGCUGACCUUUUACCUAGAUUGAGGAAGCAUUACAAUUUAUCAAAGGCGCAAAGUAUUUCUAUAGUCUUGUUUUGACCUAUAGUUAUAACUAGCAGUACAUGAUCUAGAACUGGAGCAGACCUACUGGUCAAAUGGCCUAUUCCUGCUUCUGUGCUUCUGUUAUUUAGCUGGCCUUAGGCCAAAUUUCAUAAAUUCCAGACAAAAGCUGCUCAUCAUUGGAAAAAGUUUCAACAUUUUCAAAACUGGGACAAUCCUUGAUGAGUGUCUGAAAGUGACUAGCUGUACACAUCAAUCUGCAGCCUGAUGAAGUAUAAUUUAACAGCUCUACAGCAACAUUAUUUCCACCCACGUUAAUUGUGUCACCAUAAUCUGUUCUGUUACCACACUCCAUCUAGAACAGAGAAUUUGUAUUAGGUGCAUACACAAUUGUAAGUGCAUUUAAAUAGAAAAAAGUGAGGCAACAUAAUCUUCUCAUCGUUCCGCACCAAACCACAAUGCAUUACCUAAAUAACUGUCAGCAAUGGGAGCUGAAGCACCAUAACACAGAAGAGUGACUUAUGGGCCCAGAUUUUCUGGUGUUCAUGUUUUUGAGAUAUGGACUUGAAUUAGGAAACACUCCAACGCCCUAUGAAAGUUGAGGCAUGGACACGUGGUGAAAUUGAGAGGUUUAAACUUCUGAUAGGCUGAUGUUUGCUUCCUGGGACCAUUUGGAAACAUGCCUGACACUGAGCUCAGUGGCGUAAACCUCAGCCAGAUAUACAAACUUGCCUACAUAAUUACCCUGGGAAUGUCCUACUAGUUAACACUUACUCCAACUUUGUGAUGAGCCAGUGUUCCAGAACAGAGGACUACACUAUCACUCCCAACCCUGCAAUGAACUCCCCAUCUUGCACCUGACCUUGUCUCUCUAUUUCUCAUAUUCAAAAUUCUUCAACCUUAUUUUCUCAUGCUUGCUGCCUCAGGCUCUCUCACUCUGUAACUCUCACAGUCUUUCUAAUAUUGCUCCACUCUCUUUCUCCUUUGCUCUCAUUCUCCCUCCGUCCUUCCUUUCUCCCUCCCUUCCUUGCUCUCCUCACUUGUGUUCUCUCUCUCACUCUCUCCCAUACUCCAACCUUCUCUCACACACUAGAACUCUCACAAUUACACACUCUCCCUCACCGCACCAUCAAAGGGAAGAAAUCAGGUGGAAAGGCAAGUCCACGCAAGGGAUGGAAAGAGCCAUCGGUCAUCAUGGAACACCAUUGAAUGGAAGAGAAGAGCUUGGUUUAGGAAGCAAGUCCAGAGGUAGAAUAGAUGAGCCAUGAGACAGAUCAGGGAGGAGUUUGGGAGGUUGGGAUGCUGGCACGGAACAGCCUAUCCCAGUAGAAGAGCAUGUACACCAUUAGUGGGCACUGUUUAAACUAGGAACUUGUUUGAUUUACAGUACUCCAACAGCCUCUCGCCAGGUUCAACAGAACAGUUCUCACACCAGUUCUGACACAAGGUAAGAGGAAGGAUACACUGGGAAUCUGCAUGCCCUACUCAGCCAAUAAAGGCAUUAGUUCAGGACAACAGUCAUCACAGAUUGAAUAUCCAGUCAAAUGGAUGGUCUGUAUGCCUGAUUGGUUGCUUUGAAUAUAGAGCAUUCUGAUUAACAGACUAUUUGGUCAAUGAACCUGGGUUGCACUAGACGCACAGCCCCCAGUGAUUGGCAUUGUCUGCAUCUACCUCUUCCCAAUCUAACCAUGCCCCCCACUGCCUGCACCCCGAACUAAUCUGAAUCCUUCUCCCACCCUGACUUCCCAGAUCCAAUCCAACACACACUCUCGCCACCCAUUGACUGAGCCACUAACCAUCGAAUUCAGAUUGCCUGAUUAGGGCCAGUCACGUAAUUUAAAAAGGGACGUGUCCCUUCUUCACCCAUCCUCGACAUGUUUUGAUCUACCAAUGAGAUGUCUGUACUGUCCCAUCACUUCUUCAACUGUCAGUUGGAAAUCCAAGCAAGUUUCAUAGGCAGUACAAAUGCACCCAGUAUUGGCACUGAGUGGACACUCUGGCCCGUGGUAUGGCAUAGCAUGUCUUGUCUAUUUGCCAUGUAUGUCAGAAGACCACGCGUUUUCUUCCUCUCUCUGUUCCAUGUCCCUUUUCAAAUUUCAGUCCAAUUCUCUCAUUUUCAUCUCCACUUAGAUUAUGUUCAUUUCUCUCUCUGUUGCUGACCUGUUUCACCUCUUUCCUCCUCAGCUUUCUCUGACUCUGUCCUGAUUCACAUCGUCAGUUACUCUCAUUUUUUUCUUCUAUGUCAUAGCUAGGAAUUGGGUCACAUAUCAGCCCUUUGAGGGGAGAUGUGAAGGAGGGAAUCUGACCCGGAAUAUGAUAGUGCUGCAAAAGUGUGGUGGGAAAAGGAAGUGCAGCUUUUAAAGGAGGUCGGUACAAUAUGCAAAACUUCUAAGAUCUCGUAAUUCACCUUUGUCAUUGCAGAAUAGUUUCCGAUUUAAUGUAUUUAUUUCAGAAGUACAAUUUUCAGUCCAUUCCAGCAUGGAAUGUGUGGGGAACAGAGCACCAAUUUUGAACAACCAGUGUCAGACCAGUAUAUUCCCGGGUCAGGCAUGGUGGGAUGAAAAACAGAGCGCAGAAGCAAAAUCCUGCUGUUGCCGGGAAUCUGAAAUGAAAACGGAAAAUGCGAAUAAUACUCAGCAGGUCUGGCAGUAUCUAUGGAGAGGAACAAUAUCAAUGCUUUCAGAUGAUGACUGCCAGGCCAACAAAAUAUCUCCGAUAUUAUACAUUCUAAUUCUAUUCUCGCCUUUAUUCCGUCCCAGCAUUAUUUUCUAAUCUCAGACUUCCAAAGAACCUGGCGACCCAUUCCGAUGCCGUUUCUCUCCUAUUUCCCACACCGCUUUCUCUGAGUAAGAUCACGCAGUUGUGCAGGGCUGGCCAGCUUUUUGUCUAAGAGCUGGGCGAUUUCAGCAUUCAGAGAUUGACGUAUCCCAACAGGAGAGAAAUGUUAGCAAAUAAUCGGAUGAAAUAAACCUGCCUGAACUUCAAGCUUGUGGUAAUUGGAUGUUAUUUUUCUGACCUAACCGUGUGGAAGUUGGCAUAAGACAGGAAAUUGCUGUUGCACUGACUGUGAUUUUUCAAUGAUGAAAUACAGAUAUGUAUGAACAGCAAGUGAGCCCCAACUGGCGUUACCAUAACCUUGGAAAAUCAGCCCUAUGAUGUCAUUUGCCCUAUCAAACACCUCGUUAGCCUUGCACUCUUUGCCAUAAACAAUUCUAAAUUGUGUCGUUCUUUGCCAACUCAAUUAUAAUAAACAUUAUAAAUUGCAUAAAUAAUUUACAAAGUAAUGUACUGACAUUGAGGGCUGCUUUCAGUACUUGUGGAAUGAUGCCCCGAACAUUUAAUCUCAGUCUCUCAUAAACACAAACUAUAUUGAGCCCAAAUCUGGUGGAAUUGUAUCAAUGGGCUAUUUUAUUGUGGAUGUAAUUUGUUUGUAUGUCAGUAAUAAAUUGCCUUCGA